rnacentral:rRNA from 1 species
GAGGAAUAUUGGACAAUGGGUGAGAGCCUGAUCCAGCCAUCCCGCGUGAAGGAUGACGGUCCUACGGAUUGUAAACUUCUUUUGUAUAGGGAUAAACCCAGAUACGUGUAUCUAGCUGAAGGUACUAUACGAAUAAGCACCGGCUAACUCCGUGCCAGCAGCCGCGGUAAUACGGAGGGUGCAAGCGUUAUCCGGAUUUAUUGGGUUUAAAGGGUCCGCAGGCGGGCCGAUAAGUCAGUGGUGAAAUCUCAUAGCUUAACUAUGAAACUGCCAUUGAUACUGUCGGUCUUGAGUAAAUUAGAGGUAGCUGGAAUAAGUAGUGUAGCGGUGAAAUGCAUAGAUAUUACUUAGAACACCAAUUGCGAAGGCAGGUUACCAUGAUUUAACUGACGCUGAGGGACGAAAGCGUGGGGAGCGAAC